CCCGGCUCCCGCGGGCCCCCACCUGCCCUUCUUGCCCUGGCGCCGCCUCCAGCCCAGCCCGUUUCUUGCAGAUUUUAGCUUCUCCCUUGCCUGCCGCCUUUCCCGUUUCGGCUCGGUGAAGCUACCUAUGGGUUGCUGUUCAUUUAACAAACGGUGAUCCGGAUAAACAUGUUCACUUCUUCGCCUGGGCAAACUUUCCAGCCCCCGACCCACUCAUGUCACGAUACCUUCCCGUGUCCAAGUCCGGCUCUCUGCUCCCCACUUUUUUUUUUUUUUUUUUUUGAGACAGAGUGUUUCUCUGUCUCCCAGGCUGGAGUGCAGUGGCGCGAUCUCAACUCACAGUACCCCCUGCCUCCCGGGUUCAAACGAUUUUCUUGCCUCAGCCUCCUGAGUAGCUGGGAUUACAGGCGCGCGCCACCACAGCCGGCUAAUUUUUAUGUUUUAGUAGAGACAGGGUUUCACCAUGUUGGCCAGGAUGGUCUCCAUCUCUUGACCUCGUGAUCCGCCCGCCUCGGCCUCUCAAGGUGCUGGGAUUACAGGUGUGAGCCGCCGCGCCCGGCCUCUUUGCUCUUUUAUACUCUCAGAAGCAAUGAGUUCUGGUUAAAAAAAAGGGCUCGAUAGACGGAAAAAAUGAAGGCUUAAAGAACUGACAACAAAAUAUUAACAUUUGGCUUGUGGAAUUCUUACACUCUCGUAAGCAGAAAAAACAAAUGUUAUGGCAAAAAAGUGUCUCAGACAAAUCCGUCUUGGGGGGAAAAAAAUUAAAAGAAUGAGAAAAACAGACUUCGGAAUAAAUAGACCCAAAGGAGGAAGUAUUGAAAAUGGCAAGAUUCACUUUUACAAACUUAUUUGGAACCACGGCAGAUGGCCAGGGCAGGGAUUUUGCAAGGCAGCUCCAGUUGAUCAAGACCAAGGGAAACAAAAUCCCAUUCUGCAAUCCCCUUACAUUCCUCUCUUAAGUCCCAGGAUCUGGUUUGAUGAUCUCUUCCCAGGAGCAGUUGAUUUCUCACCGCCCACCCCCGACCCCACCACUAUUGAUCAUGAGGUGCUUUGAGGGGUCCGGGUUUGGAGGACUGAAACACCGUGGGAUCUUGGAACAGCUCUUCCUUGUUGGUGAUCCCUUAUUAAGAAGCCCUCCAGCCUGACAAUGCUGAAGCCCUGGAGGUUGGAGCCACUCAGAAGAGGAAACCAGAGCACAGAAAGGUUAAGUGAAAUGCCCGAAGUCACACAACUGAUAAAUGGUCAAAUUGGGAUCCAAGCCCAGGCAGCUCUGAGUCAUUGACAUUACUCUGUCCUAGAAGGCACUCGACAGAAAGGGGGUUUGUGCUUCCUCCAUCCCACCCAGCUUCUGAAUGGUCCAGGCCCCUGACUGCAUUGCCACGAAAAGGCCUCAGAAAAAUGUCUGUGCAUGCAUCAAGACUGCAAGCCAGAUCCAAAAUGUAUCAGGUCUCCUUUAUGGGGAAUAGUGAGAAGCAAAUGGAAAUAGAUUGUCUUCCUGCUUGGGACUGUUAACACAGCAGCCAAACUGAACUGAAAAUAUUUUAUUUUAUUUUAUGAGAAUUUUAAUGAGAAUAUUUUAUUCUCAUUAUACUUUGCUAGAAGUUGCCUUCUAGAGGGAUUUCUUUGGGCUUUUAUUUUGAAUUCUAAUAAAGAAUACCUUGACUACAAAUU
rnacentral:lncRNA from 10 species